UACAGGGGGUGCAAACGUUGCUCGGAAUUAUUGGGCGUAAAGCGCACGUAGGCGGUUUGUUAUGUCGGAUGUGAAAGCCCUUGGCUCAACUGAGGAAGUGCAUCCGAAACUGGCAAGCUAGAGUAUGUAAGAGGGUCGCGGAAUUCCCGGUGUAGAGGUGAAAUGCGCAGAUAUCAGGAGGAACACCGGUGGCGAAGGCGGCUUGCUGGGCCAGUUCUGACGCUGAGGAGCGAAAAGCGUGGGGGAGCGAACAGG
rnacentral:rRNA from 1 species